rnacentral:sRNA from 1 species
GUAUCAUCAACACAGUUUUCCACAAAGCAUGCCUCUAAAUAGUUCUGCAGUUGUUGCCACCUCUGGUGAGAGGAAAGGAUUGCUGUAUUCUCUGUUCUAAUUCAAUUCUGUGUUCAUAGUUUUCAUCAGGUUUUAUCAAUGAAGGCAAUAGCACAGGCUGAACUGUUCAAGCAAUGGCAGACCAUCUUGGGGAAGCAGAAUCGGCAUAAAAGUACAAACAGCACCAGGAUGAUCCACAACAUUUAAUCUCUUACAUUGGAAGAAACUGAGCAUCAGUGGAGUUGCUCCAAUUAUGGUGAGACAGCCAUUGGAAAGAAUUGUCCCAUUUCAUCUAUAGACAAAAUGCUGUCCAGAAAAGGGACAAACCAUGUAGAAUAGUCAACUGAUAAUCUCUGCCAAGACAAUGUAACCAGUCCUUUAAACACUGUGCCUUACAAAUGUCUGUCAGAUGAUCCUGGACCAGAAGGCUGAAGACUGGUGGUCCAAUGUUUUGAAGAAUGGGGGACUGUCCAGGUGAUCAGCAGUGUCUAUAAAUUAGCUAAAUUUUGGAGGCUAUGUUUUGUGAUUCUUAUACUUUCAUGUAGUAUUAGUCAUUCUUGGUUUUCUGAAGUGAUUGAAGAUUGGUAGUCUCAUAGUUAACCCAAGCUGUUUAGCAUUGAGAAAGAUGAUAUAGAUUUGAGAAGAUGAUUUUUCAAAUGACAUACAAUCUAAAAGUAGGGCAUAAGUCAAGAGUACAAUUGUAGGUCUUUUAAGUUAGGAUAGAUGGCAAAGUGCUUUAUUUAAUGGACAAAUUUAUGGACUGGAUGUUAAGCAUAUCUUCUACUUUAUAAAUUAUAGAAUGGUAAUAGUUAUACUCAAUUUGUAUCUAAGGGAAAAGAGCCUUUUAACUGGAUAAAAAGGGGAAAAUGUGG